rnacentral:rRNA from 1 species
UACGUAGGGGGCAAGCGUUGUCCGGAUUUAUUGGGCGUAAAGAGCGUGUAGGCGGCUUUGCAAGUCCGUUGUGAAAACUCGAGGCUCAACCUCGAGACGCCGAUGGAAACCAUUUGGCUAGAGUCCGGAAGAGGAGAGUGGAAUUCCUGGUGUAGCGGUGAAAUGCGCAGAUAUCAGGAAGAACACCCGUGGCGAAGGCGGCUCUCUGGGACGGUACUGACGCUGAGACGCGAAAGCGUGGGGAGCGAACAGG